rnacentral:rRNA from 1 species
GACGAACGCUGGCGGCGUGCUUAACACAUGCAAGUCGAACGGAAAGGCCCUGCUUUUGUGGGGUGCUCGAGUGGCGAACGGGUGAGUAACACGUGAGUAACCUGCCCUUGACUUUGGUAUAACUUCAGGAAACUGGGUCUAAUACCGGAUAGGAGCUCCUGCUGCAUGGUGGGGGUUGGAAAGUUUCGGCGGUUGGGGAUGGACUCGCGGCUUAUCAGCUUGUUGGUGGGGUAGUGGCUUACCAAGGCUUUGACGGGUAGCCGACCUGAGAGGGUGACCGGCCACAUUGGGACUGAGAUACGGCCCAGACUCCUACGGGAGGCAGCAGUGGGGAAUAUUGCACAAUGGGCGGAAGCCUGAUGCAGCAACGACGCGUGCGGGAUGACGGCCUUCGGGGUGUAAACCGCUGUCGCCUGUGACGAAGCGUGAGUGACGGUAAUGGGUAAAGAAGCACCGGAUAACUACGUG